GGGUGUGUAACUCAGGGGAUAGAGUAACUGCCUUCUAAGCAGUCAGUCGCAGGUUCGAUUCCUGCCACACCCG
rnacentral:tRNA from 2 species